UGGGGAAUUUUGGACAAUGGGGGAAACCCUGAUCCAGCCAUCCCGCGUGUGCGAUGAAGGCCUUCGGGUUGUAAAGCACUUUUGGCAGGAAAGAAACGUCGCGGGUUAAUACCCCGCGAAACUGACGGUACCUGCAGAAUAAGCACCGGCUAACUACGUGCCAGCAGCCGCGGUAAUACGUAGGGUGCAAGCGUUAAUCGGAAUUACUGGGCGUAAAGCGUGCGCAGGCGGUUCGGAAAGAAAGAUGUGAAAUCCCAGAGCUUAACUUUGGAACUGCAUUUUUAACUACCGGGCUAGAGUGUGUCAGAGGGAGGUGGAAUUCCGCGUGUAGCAGUGAAAUGCGUAGAUAUGCGGAGGAACACCGAUGGCGAAGGCAGCCUCCUGGGAUAACACUGACGCUCAUGCACGAAAGCGUGGGGAGCAAACAGGAUUAGAUACCCUGGUAGUCCACGCCCU
rnacentral:rRNA from 1 species